GAUGAACGCUGGCGGCGUGCUUAACACAUGCAAGUCGAACGAGAAGUGGAGACGGAAACCUUCGGGCGGAAGACUUUAUUUCGAGUGGCGGACGGGUGAGUAACGCGUGGGUAACCUGCCUCAUACAGGGGGAUAACAGUUGGAAACGACUGUUAAUACCGCAUAAGACCACAGCACCGCAUGGUGCGGGGGUAAAAACUCCGGUGGUAUGAGAUGGACCCGCGUUCGAUUAGCCAGUUGGCGGGGUAACGGCCCACCAAAGCAACGAUCGAUAGCCGAUCUGAGAGGAUGACCGGCCACAUUGGGACUGAGACACGGCCCAAACUCCUACGGGAGGCAGCAGUGGGGAAUAUUGCACAAUGGGGGAAACCCUGAUGCAGCGACGCCGCGUGAGUGAAGAAGUAUUUCGGUAUGUAAAGCUCUAUCAGCAGGGAAGAAAAUGACGGUACCUGAGUAAGAAGCCCCGGCUAACUACGUG
rnacentral:rRNA from 1 species